rnacentral:hammerhead_ribozyme from 1 species
GCACCGCUGAAGAGUCCUAAACAGGACGAAACAGCUGUCUAGUGC